GUGGUCCUUGGGUCUGACCGACUAAUGGAACUGGUCCGUGGGUCAUGCCGGCGGCCACGUGGGACCGCUAUAACAAGGUCUGGAGGGAAUGGGACGGGUGGGAGAGGUCCCUGGGGGGUUUCAGGGACUCCUCCGCUCGCCUGCAGGUUUUGGUUCUUCUCUUUAGGGAUUGGGAGGCUGCAGGGUUGUCUCCCUCGGCCGUUUUGGCGCACCUAGCGGGACUCAGCUUCCUGUUUAAGUUGCGGGGUUGGGACGACGCUACCAAAGCAUUCCUCAUACGGCAGGCGCUGAAAGGUUUGAGGAGGGGGCGGGUGUCUAUGCGAGACUCGAGGCGGCCUGUCUCGGGCACGCUCCUAACUGCUUUGUGUGAGGUGUUGCACAGGGUGUGCCAUUCGGAAUUUGAGGUUCGGCUCUUUCGCCUAGCCUUUUCCUUGGCAUUCUUUGGGGCUAUGCGGAUUGGGGAGCUGGUGUGCCCCAGCCGGCAACAAGUGGGGGGACGUUUCAUGUACCGCUGACCGGAUCUCAUUCAGGAUUCACCGCUCUAAGACGGAUGUCUUGGGGAGGGGUAAGUGGGUCCGGUUGGGGUCCGUGCCGGGUUCCGGCAUCUGUCCGGUUUGGUCCUUUGGGGAAUAUUGUGCUCUGCGCCCUUCCCCGCGUUGCCACUCCUGGUACACGGGGAUGGUAGUUUCCUUUCCCAUUUCCAGUUUAUUAGAGUUUUUCAUUUGGGGCUGGAGGCUGUGGGAUUGGAUAGCAGGGAGUUUGGGGGCCAUUCGUUCCGUAUAGGGGCGGCUACCGAGGCCUCGAGGCUUGGCAUGCCGGCGCAGGUAGUUCAAAGGAUUGGUAGGUGGGACUCGAGACGUUGUUUCCUAUGUUCGUCCGACCGGUUUAUUGACAUGAUUUCUCUCCACAGUUUCGUUUCCCCCCAGGAUCUGGAUCAUCGGACACUCCUAUGUUUACUGGGCUGGGCAGCGUGCGGAGGUGCGGCCUAGAGGCGAAAGGUUGGCUUUCACACCUUCCGAAGCAGAGGUACGAUGGCUCGGGGCACAGGGUAUGAGGUGGUCCUGGCUCCUACC